UUUGUACUCCCUCUGUUCGGAAAUACUUAUCAUCAAAAUGGAUAAAAGGAGAUGUAUCUAGACGUAUUUUAGUUCUAGAUACAUCUCUUUUUAUCCAUUUUGAUGACAAUUAUUUUCAGACGGAGGGAGUAAUAA
rfam:Triticum aestivum genome assembly, contig: Triticum_aestivum_CS42_TGACv1_scaffold_502769_6BL